rnacentral:misc_RNA from 1 species
AAGACUAUAGACCUGCGGAGUACCUGCGGAAGGAUCAUUAACGAGUUAGGGUCUCCUAGGCCCGACCUCCCAACCCUAUGUUUACUAAACCUAUGUUGCUUCGGCGGGCCCGUCUUCACGACCGCCGGGGGGCUGCAACAUGCCCUCUGGCCCGCGCCUGCCGGUGGCCAUAUUUUUACAAAUUCUGCUUUAAACCGUGUCACGUGUCUGAGUCUCAUUCUUAAUUAAAGCAAAAACUUU